AUCUGAUAUUGUCAGUAAACCUAAAUUUUUUGUAUAUUAAUUUAUUUUUUAAGCUGUUAUUUAAUUUCAGGUGCUUAAGAGCGCUUCAAUUUGUUAAUGGAAAGAAACACCAUUUACACCGGAUGGCUACAAAGCAACCUUAUUCUGGAUAGCUUGUCAGUGCCCGCUUGGGUUUUUGAAUUCUGACUUUUUGCUGACCGUGAUUUGGCUGUCUCAUUAAUAAGCACUGCUCAAGGCCUUGCCUGAUCAAACACUCUCAGAAGCUCUCCCGCUAUCUACUCAGUCCAAACUGCAUCAAGUUCUCUGCAAGCAACCUGUCCCACCUCAUCCAUCUGUGCCCAGCUGGACCAGAACAUACAACUUACCACUUUCUCAAACUCAGCUUUUAUUUUUCUGCCUCUGCAACUUGAUCAUGCUCUUCUGCAUUCCUGUAUUGAUUCAAUAAAUAUUUAUUGAGCUCUUUACUUCCUGCCAGGUGCUGGGAAUAUAAGGGUGAAAAAGAAAGACAAUAUCUAGGCACUUAUGUGACUUAAUUUUUAGUAGAGGAUGGAGAUGGGCAGAAAAUAAUCCAGUAAAAAAAUUGAACACGAUAAUUUUCCAUAGUGCUUUAUAAGUACUAUAAAGAAAGUAAAAUAGAAUGUUAAUGAGUUUGUGUGGAGGAGUGAUGGGGGUGGAUAUGGGGCAUGUCCAGGUGGGAACUUUAGAGGGGCAGGUGCUCAGUGAAGGCUUUACAGAGAAGGUUAUAUUCCCCUUGAGACCAGCAGUGUGAAGCUCAUUCACAGACCAGAAGUAUUUCUGAUCCUGAGCAAGUGCAGAUGCCUGCAUGUAGGGGUGGCCUCGAAGGAUCCUGAGAGGAACAGAGCUGCCCUUGUGGCUGGCAGUCGGGGCUAGGAGAGUGGUGGAUGCUGCAGGAGACAAAGGCAGGCAAAGCCAUGCCUCUCAGGGCCUUGUGGAUGCUGUCUUCCAAAGCCACUGCAGGAAACCAUAGUUUGCCCUUUAAAGCCCUGUAAAGCCGUGAUCAAAUCCUUUCUUCAUAAUCAUUCCUGAUCCAGCUGGCUGAGCGCGCUCUUUCUGGACCACCAUUGCACAGUGGUGGUUCCUCUUAAGGCAUUUAACAUAGAACUUUGGGAUCUUGAUGUCUGUUCUUCCCAUGAGCUAUUAGAAUUUGUUUUCAUGUUGCUAUUUUGUUUCUACCUCACAAGGGACAAUACUUUAUUGUCUGGUAUGAGGAAAGUAGGGGGAGAAAAGGUAGAACACAGAAGAAGCCUAUCUUUUUUGAUUGAGUCACUUUGGAACGAACUGAGUUUCAGUGAAAUAAGCUUUCCUGUCGUAUAUUUGAGCUGAUUUUCACAGUGGCAAAUAUGACAAAUUUAAUUUUCCUUAAAAAUUGAUAAGACCAGUUGGAGUUCUAAAAGUGAUUUUUUCCACCCCUUGAAGAUCUUUUCUCAGAAUAGCAGUCUGUAGGCUGUCACCUAAAGUGUCCUGUUUUCAGUGCCACACCUGCUCUGAGCUUCAGCUUUUUAUGAAGACGUCAUGGUGUGCUAUCUGUACUAGGAACCUUUCCCCAGCAUCAGCCAGCUCCUGAAGAUAACAUUGUCUGCUAGAGAUUGUCAUGUAUGUGGAUUUUAUCUCUUUAUCUUCACGGUAAUUUUGGAGUUGUGUGUUAGACCUAUCUUACUGGUGAAAAGAAUGAAGGUUCGUAGAGGUCAUUGCUUGUUUGUCCCUAGGUUACGGAAUGAGAGAAUAGUGAACCUGACACUUGAAUCUGGGGCUACUGACCAAUUCCCUAUGAAGCGUCCAUGCUUUAACUAGUAACAUAGCAAAGACCAAGCACUUGCAAUUAUUUCUAGAUGAAGCCUUUGUGCUGUGAACCACUGUGAUCACUGUUGAUCGCAUUUUCCUUCUUGAACUCAUUUUCUAUUAAUAGGAGCAUUUAUCACAGACAGUGAGAAGCAGUUUGUGCAGUGGGGAAGAGCAUGGGCUGUCUGAAGCUAGACUGUCUGA